GCCAACAAUGGCAAGUUCGAACGGCAGCGACAACAUUGAACCUUUCGGGGGAUUUGUUGGGCGGCGAGUGGCGGACGGGUGAGUAAUGCCUGGGAAAUCGCCCUGAUGCGGGGGAUAACCAUUCGGAAACGAUGGCUAAUACCGCAUGAUAGCUUCGGCUCAAAGAGGGGGACCUUAGGGCCUCUCGCGUCAGGAUAUGCCCAGGUGGGAUUAGCUAGUUGGUGAGGUAAGGGCUCACCAAGGCGACGAUCCCUAGCUGGUCUGAGAGGAUGAUCAGCCACACUGGAACUGAGACACGGUCCAGACUCCUACGGGAGGCAGCAGUGGGGAAUAUUGCACAAUGGGCGCAAGCCUGAUGCAGCCAUGCCGCGUGUAUGAAGAAGGCCUUCGGGUUGUAAAGUACUUUCAGCAGUGAGGAAGGAGGUAUCGUUAAUAGCGGUAUCUUUUGACGUUAGCUGCAGAAGAAGCACCGGCUAACUCCGUGCCAGCAGCCGCGGUAAUACGGAGGGUGCGAGCGUUAAUCGGAAUUACUGGGCGUAAAGCGCAUGCAGGUGGUUUGUUAAGUCAGAUGUGAAAGCCCGGGGCUCAACCUCGGAAUUGCAUUUGAAACUGGCAGGCUAGAGUACUGUAGAGGGGGGGUAGAAUUUCAGGUGUAGCGGUGAAAUGCGUAGAGAUCUGAAAGGAAUACCGGUGGCGAAAGGCGGCCCCCUGGACAGAUACUGACACUCAGAUGCGAAAGCGUGGGGAGCAACAGGAUUAGAUACCCUGGUAGUCCACGCCGUAAACGAUGUCUACUUGGGAGGUUGUGGCCUUGAGCCGUGGCUUUCGGAGCUAACGC
rnacentral:rRNA from 1 species